UACGUAGGGUGCAAGCGUUGUCCGGAAUUAUUGGGCGUAAAGAGCUCGUAGGCGGUCUGUCGCGUCUGCUGUGAAAAACUCAGGGCUUAACCCUGAGCUUGCAGUGGGUACGGGCAGACUAGAGUGCGGUAGGGGAGACUGGAAUUCCGUGGUGUAGCGGUGAAAUGCGCAGAUAUCAGGAGGAACACCGGUGGCGAAGGCGGAUCUCUGGGCCUUACCUGACGCUCAGGCGCGAAAGCUAGGGGGAGCGAACUGG
rnacentral:rRNA from 1 species